rnacentral:rRNA from 1 species
CUACGGGUGGCUCCAGUCGAGAAUCUUCCGCAAUGGGCGAAAGCCUGACGGAGCAAUGCCGCGUGCAGGAUGAAGGCCUUCGGGUCGUAAACUGCUGUCACCGGGGAUGAAUAAUGACAGUACCCGGGGAGGAAGUCACGGCUAACUACGUGCCAGCAGCCGCGGUAAUACGUAGGUGACAAGCGUUGUUCGGAUUUAUUGGGCGUAAAGGGUUCGUAGGAUGUUGAUUAAGAUUGGUGUGAAAUCCCAAGGCUCAACCUUGGAACUGCAUUGAUUACUGAUGAACUAGAGUGUCGUAGAGGAAAGCGGAAUUCCAGGUGUAGCGGUGGAAUGCGUAGAUAUCUGGAAGAACACCGACAGCGAAGGCAGCUUUCUGGGCGAUAACUGACUCUGAGGAACGAAAGCAUGGGGAGCAAACAGGAUUAGAUACCCGGGUAGUC